rnacentral:rRNA from 1 species
AGCUCGUAGUUGAAUCUUGGGCCUGGCUGGCCAGUCCGCCUCACCGCGUGUACUGGUCCGGCCGGGUCUUUCACUCUGCGGAACCACAUGCCCUUCAGUGGGUGUGGCGGGGAAGCAGGACUUUUACUUUGAAAAAAUUAGAGUGCUCUAAGCAGGCCAAUGCUCGAAUACAUUAGCAUGGAAUAAUAAAAUAGGACGCGCGGUUCUAUUUUGUUGGUUUCUAGGACCGCCGUAAUGAUGAAUAGGGACAGUCGGGGGCAUCAGUAUUCAGUUGUCAGAGGUGAAAUUCUUGGAUCUACUGAAGACUAACUACUGCGAAAGCAUUUGCCAAGGAUGUUUUCAUUAAUCAGGAACGAAAGUUAGGGGAUCGAAGACGAUCAGAUACCGUCGUAGUCUUAACCAUAAACUAUGCCGACUAGGGAUCGGACGAUGUUAUUUCUUGACCCGUUCGGCACCU